GACAAACGCUGGCGGCGUGCUUAACACAUGCAAGUCGAACGAUGAAGCCGGAGCUUGCUCUGGUGAAUUAGUGGCGAACGGGUGAGUAACACGUGAGUAACCUGCCCUUGACUCUGGGAUAACUGCUAGAAAUGGUAGCUAAUACCGGAUACGACCCUCGGAGGCAUCUUCAGGGGGUGGAAAGAAUUUCGGUCAAGGAUGGACUCGCGGCCUAUCAGCUAGUUGGUGAGGUAACGGCUCACCAAGGCGACGACGGGUAGCCGGCCUGAGAGGGUGACCGGCCACACUGGGACUGAGACACGGCCCAGACUCCUACGGGAGGCAGCAGUGGGGAAUAUUGCACAAUGGGCGCAAGCCUGAUGCAUCAACGCCGCGUGAGGGAUGACGGCCUUCGGGUUGUAAACCUCUUUUAGUAGGGAAGAAGCGAAAGUGACGGUACCUGCAGAAAAAGCACCGGCUAACUACGUGCCAGCAGCCGCCGCAG
rnacentral:rRNA from 1 species